rnacentral:rRNA from 1 species
CUUGUACUGAUUGAGCAUUUUAACACGAAGUGAGUGGCGAACGGGUGAGUAACACGUGGGUAACCUGCCCAGAAGUAGGGGAUAACACCUGGAAACAGAUGCUAAUACCGUAUAACAGAGAAAACCGCAUGGUUUUCUUUUAAAAGAUGGCUCUGCUAUCACUUCUGGAUGGACCCGCGGCGUAUUAGCUAGUUGGUGAGGUAAAGGCUCACCAAGGCAGUGAUACGUAGCCGACCUGAGAGGGUAAUCGGCCACAUUGGGACUGAGACACGGCCCAGACUCCUACGGGAGGCAGCAGUAGGGAAUCUUCCACAAUGGACGCAAGUCUGAUGGAGCAACGCCGCGUGAGUGAAGAAGGGUUUCGGCUCGUAAAGCUCUGUUGUUAAAGAAGAACGUGGGUAAGAGUAACUGUUUACCCAGUGACGGUAUUUAACCAGAAAGCCACGGCUAACUACGUGCCAGCAGCCGCGGUAAUACGUAGGUGGCAAGCGUUAUCCGGAUUUAUUGGGCGUAAAGCGAGCGCAGGCGGUCUUUUAAGUCUAAUGUGAAAGCCUUCGGCUCAACCGAAGAAGUGCAUUGGAAACUGGGAGACUUGAGUGCAGAAGAGGACAGUGGAACUCCAUGUGUAGCGGUGAAAUGCGUAGAUAUAUGGAAGAACACCAGUGGCGAAGGCGGCUGUCUGGUCUGCAACUGACGCUGAGGCUCGAAAGCAUGGGUAGCGAACAGGAUUAGAUACCCUGGUAGUCCAUGCCGUAAACGAUGAUUACUAAGUGUUGGAGGGUUUCCGCCCUUCAGUGGUGCAGCUAACGCAUUAAGUAAUCCGCCUGGGGAGUACGACCGCAAGGUUGAAACUCAAAAGAAUUGACGGGGGCCCGCACAAGCGGUGGAGCAUGUGGUUUAAUUUGAAGCUACGCGAAGAACCUUACCAGGUCUUGACAUCUUUUGACAGUUUAAGAGAUUAGAGGUUCCCUUCGGGGACAGAAUGACAGGUGGUGCAUGGUUGUCGUCAGCUCGUGUCGUGAGAUGUUGGGUUAAGUCCCGCAACGAGCGCAACCCUUAUUACUAGUUGCCAGCAUUAAGUUGGGCACUCUAGUGAGACUGCCGGUGACAAACCGGAGGAAGGUGGGGACGACGUCAAAUCAUCAUGCCCCUUAUGACCUGGGCUACACACGUGCUACAAUGGAUGGUACAACGAGUCGCGAGACCGCGAGGUUAAGCUAAUCUCUUAAAACCAUUCUCAGUUCGGACUGUAGGCUGCAACUCGCCUACACGAAGUCGGAAUCGCUAGUAAUCGCGGAU